rnacentral:rRNA from 1 species
AUUGAACGCUGGCGGCAUGCCUUACACAUGCAAGUCGAGCGGCAGCACGGGGCAACCUGGUGGCGAGUGGCGAACGGGUGAGUAAUGUAUCGGAACGUGCCAUUGAGUGGGGGAUAACGUAGCGAAAGUUACGCUAAUACCGCAUAUACCCUGAGGGGGAAAGCAGGGGAUCGCAAGACCUUGUGCUCUUUGAGCGGCCGAUAUCAGAUUAGCUAGUUGGUGAGGUAAAGGCUCACCAAGGCGACGAUCUGUAGCGGGUCUGAGAGGAUGAUCAGCCACACGGGGACUGAGACACGGCCCAGAAUCCUACGGGAGACAGCAGUGGGGAAUUGUGGACAAUGGGCGCAAGCCUGAUCCAGCCAUGCCGCGUGAGUGAAGAAGGCCUUCGGGUUGUAAAGCUCUUUCGGCCGGGAAGAAAUCGUACAGGUUAAUACCCAGUGUGGAUGACGGUACCGGAAUAAGAAGCACCGGCUAACUACGUGCCAGCAGCCGCGGUAAAAC